CGCAGCCUGAACCAGCCAUGCCGCGUGCAGGAUGACGGUCCUAUGGAUUGUAAACUGCUUUUGUACGGGAAGAAACCCUCCUACGUGUAGGAGCUUGACGGUACCGUAAGAAUAAGGAUCGGCUAACUCCGUGCCAGCAGCCGCGG
rnacentral:rRNA from 1 species